GUAGGUGGCAAGCGUUGUCCGGAAUUACUGGGCGUAAAGCGCGCGCAGGCGGUUCUUUAAGUCUGAUGUGAAAGUCCACGGCUCAACCGUGGGGGGUCAUUGGAAACUGGAGAACUUGAGUACAGAAGAGGAAAGCGGAAUUCCACGUGUAGCGGUGAAAUGCGUAGAGAUGUGGAGGAACACCAGUGGCGAAGGCGGCUUUCUGGUCUGUAACUGACGCUGAGGCGCGAAAGCGUGGGGAGCAAACAGGGAUUAGAUACCCUGGUAGUCCACGCCGUAAACGAUGAGUGCUAAGUGUUAGGGGGUUUCCGCCCCCUUAGUGCUGCAGCUAACGCAUUAAGCACUCCGCCUGGGGAGUACGGCCGCAAGGCUG
rnacentral:rRNA from 1 species